rnacentral:lncRNA from 1 species
UCUGAGGGAAGGUGAGUGUUGCCAGCCAGGUCAUGCCUUAUCCGAAGCGAAGUGAAGACGCUCAGGUGUUUCCCUGUGAAGUUCCGAAGUGAGACUGUUUGGGAUAGAGGAGCAGAGUGGCAGGGGGUUGCUUGCAAGCACAGUGGUCGUUUUGUCCUUUUGUGUUCCCAGGUGUUGUGGAUGAUGGUGGCCGCUCCUUUCAAGCUUGGACCUAAUUUGCAGGUCCAGAGGCAAGUGGAGUGCUGUUUUGAAAGGGUAAAAGUAAAGCUGGGGUCGCUUAUGUUGUUGAGGGAUGGGUGCUACUGCUGGCAGCUGAAUAUUUAUCUUCUGCCUGUGUCUUUCCUUUGUUCAGGUUGAAAUGCAGCGUGCAGUGCGCGGUGCAGGACGUCUCGACCCGAGCUGCCUCUGCAGUGACUCUGGUGCGUGAUGAGCAGAGAGGUGCUAUAAGUGGGUAAGGAGAAGAGAUGGAAGCAUGUGCCACGUGGGGCAGGCAAGCGGCUGAGAAACACCUCAGGUCUCGUCUGCACUCUGCAUUCUGUUGAGCUAAAGCAGAUCCCCCCCAAAAAAAACAAACAGGCAAACAAAAAAAAAACCAAACACACACACACAAAUGAACAACGAAAUAAAACACCAUUGGUUGACUUGUUGUGAAUGCAACGAACAUUUAAUCCCUUUGUUUUCCCAGGUGGUGUGGAUGAUACUGGCUGCACUAUUGGAGCUUGGUCUCGGAGAGGAACAGGCGAGCACAAUCCUGAUGCUGAGCCUUCAAUUGACUAAGAUGACAAUCAGUGCCUGUGCCUUUCCUGAGGCGGAGGGACUUUACCAUGCAGCAACCUUAGAGCUAAGUUGGGGGGCACCUGGUAUUUGCAUAUUUGGAGUGGCUAAUGGGAGCUGCGAGCCAGAGCAGCAUGGAGCCAGCUGGCUGAAUAGACUUGGUGCCACUGUGAGGGUGGUUCAGGCUGGGUCGUCACGUUCAGGCUGGUUGUGGCUGGGUCACCAGGCUAACAGAAGCAGCGGGAUUAUUUUGUAGCGUGCGUGCGCCAGGCAGGACAGUUUCCUUCUGUUCGUCUGUCUUGUAGUGUUGCUUCUGCAGUGUCUGUUCUGUGCUUCUCGGGUCUUUAUAUCCUCCUGGCUUUUUAGAUUGGACUGACUAGACAGGCGACUUGGUAGCUGUGCUGAAGGGCCUCAAUGCUUGUUUUGUCAUCAUGGCUCUGAUCCGAGCACUUCUUGUCUUGCAGUCGCUGCUUAAAGAGCAGGCCUGUUUCAGGUCUUGUGCGUCAUAUUCGGUUUGAGAUCG